GGCCUCAAUGAAAGAUGUAUCACUCUAAAUAGUUGGUCUGAGAAAUUGGGCUAUAAAUCGUGGAGGAACUUGGCUUCCUCCAUGACAGGCUAAUUCCAUCUACUUCCUAACAGAAUGGAAAUCAUGUAGAUGAAUUUGGUGGCACUUUAAGAGUUUACUGAUUCUGGUGACAUGGUAUCUGCAUGACAUAAAUAUAUAUAUAAAUCAGCAAGGUUAAUCUUAUUCAUUUUUUUAAGCUAUCAAUUUUAGGGAUCCCUGGUUGCCCGAUAGACACGGAACAAAAGCCUUUUCAUAAGCCUUGAGUUUUAAAUGAGUAUUAAAUCUCCUUUUAACCCUCCUUCCCCUAAUUGUCACUUAAAAUAUAUGAGAGGUCUAAAAUUGACGUCUUAGCAACCUGAGUCUCUCCUAUCUCAGUAGAAGGUAUCAUCGUUAUCCUUUUAUGCUUAAACCAAGACCCAAGAUUUAUCCUUUUACCUCCUGAAACCUCACACCUCUUUCUCCUUCAAUUCACUAGCUGCAAACAUAUCAGAUUCGUUGUAGCUGCUCAAACAAGACAAGCCUUUUUUUCAUUUCUAGGCUUUUGAACUGAUGUCUUCCAUCAAUGUUAAGGCAUAUAUUUUAACACAUUUUUCGUAUCUCUGAAAACAGGUGCUUUACAAUCAACAGUGAUUUACAAUGAUAAUCACAUUGUUAUUUUUCUUUCUUAGAGGUAUAAUAGCGGUGCCUUAAAUCUAAUGGAAAAAUAAAAAAAGCAAAAACGAAAGCAGCCAUGUCCUUCCCUUCCCCCAUAUCCUUGUGCUCUGGCUCAGUCCUAGCCUCUUGUCCCAGCUCCAGUUCACUCACCACCUGUUCAGGCAGAUGCUCUGGGGCUGCCGUCCCUGAAGUUCCCCUCCCCCCUCCCAUUUCAAUUCCUUUCUAGACCUAAUGCAAUUAAAAAAAAAAAUCUAGUUGUUUACUUGUUUACCGUCUGCCCCUCUACAGCAUGGAAGCUGCACAAAACAAGGGUGUGGGGGCUAGUUUUCCGCUACGUCCCCAGAUCUGGUGGGUGAUAAAGGCAUAGCUCUUGAAGGAAUCUCGAAGCAAGGACAUCUCUUCUGUAGGAGAUUAGGUGGCCUGUUCCCACUACCUCAUUAUCUGAGAUGAGCAGCUCCAUCCAUAUCUCUAACGCCCCCACCCCUCCACAACGAAUGAUUGCUGUUAAAUCUCUACCAUCUGAAAAAUAUCAGGGCUUCCAGUGUAGUGGAUGAUAUCAUAAAUAGAAUUCCUCUUGGGAAAGGCAUUUGACAAAAAAAUUUAUUAUUUGAAAUAACUAUCCUUAAACCCACUGUUGGGAUGGAGGUUAAGGGAGUCUCAGUUCCAAGGCUUGGGUAGCAACAUGAAUGAGAAUAAAUCCCCUCCAAUUUUGUGUGCUGUUGUGAUAGAGAAGAACAAAUCUGACCCCAUAUUGGAUCUGUUCCUUUAGUUCUAACCUUUGUGCUCUGUUGCCUAUACUUAGUCAUGCUGGCACUCCACCUUUUGUAAAAGAAUGUCGCCUGUAGCCCGAAAUAUUCAUAAUAGCCCUUUCUCAAUGCCCUGCCUCCCAGGCUUGAGCUUUAUAAAAGUAGUAAAAUACCUUUCAUUCAAUAGAGAGAAGAAGUUGUAGGACAGAAAAUGACAACUGCCUUGAAGAUUUACAGAAACAUUGUGACCAGACCUACAGGCACACCUGCAAGAACAAAAGAUUCUGGCAACAAAAAGUCUCCAACAACCAGUCACAUCUCCUGGCUCAUUCCUAGUCCUUUACAUAUAAAAGAAGCUAGAAUUCUAAGUCAGCAGUUUUCGCGACCAAGAAGAGACCUAGAGCAUAUUUCCCACACCCUGAACUGUAUGAAGACCAGGAGCCAUAGAGUUGCCAUUGUGGAUCAGCUGAAACAAAUCUGACUAGCAUCCAUGAGGAUGCAGGUUCGAUCCCUGGCCUCGCUCAUUGGGUUAAGGAUCUGGCAUCACUGUGAGCUGUGGUGUAGGUCACAGACACAGCUUGGGUCUGAUGUUGCUGUGGCAGUGGUGUAGGCCAGCAGCUACAGCUCUGAUUUGAGCUGGCAUGGGGACCUCCCUAUGUGGCCCUAAAAAGACAAAACAAAACAAAACAAAAAACCCCAAAAAACUGGAGCCUUGGUAUCAGCAGUGGCUCUUAUGCCUGUUUGCCUUCUCAGCAAGCCCAGACAAAUUUGGUUGAGUUUCUCCCCAUCUUAGACCUCCCAUCAUUAGUUGACAAUCUUGAGUUUUAUUCAGUGGUGGAUGAACUUCUCUCUGUAAUAAUUAGGUUGUCUUUGAGCUUAUGUUCAAAAACAGGUACCUGUAUUUUGCUGUUGGAAGACCCUGGAAGAUUUUGCUCAUUUGAGAGGCACUGAAGUCGCUUGGAUUGGAUGAUUAGGUAGGAGGCUGACCUGACAUCUUUCCUCAAUUCAGCUACCUUAACAGAGUUUCUUGGACUAAAAGUGAAGAUAACACGAGAACUCUUUGCUCCAAAGAUGAGGGAUAGCUCCUCCCAGCUGGUAACAGUUUUCUUAGGCACCUGAGAAGUUUACAGGAGUGGUUGAGGCAUGUUCUCCUGGCAUGUGGUGGGCCCAGGGGCAAAACCACUCAUUGCUUUAAAGAAACUCACCCAUCCAGGGACACACACAGGUUUGGCCGUCCAGUGUGCCAAGUGCCCAGGGGGGUUUAGAUUGCCCAAGGGAGAAAGAGAUGAGACCUGUAAAAGAGCUGAAAUGACUGUAUGGUGACACCUAGAGGAAUUAAGCUCACCAUACAGUUUCAUUCAUUAGCAAUUUUAUUCUGAAAAACCAACAUUAAAUGGAGAAUAGAGUUUCCCAAAGAAACAAGGGAUGCCAGAUAACCUCUAACACCCCAGACAGAUUUAUAGAAUUUACAUUUGCAAGUACUUACUUGAUUUGGAACUAAAGAAAUCUUGCCCUAAAAUUGGCCAAGAUGGGGCUCUUUGGACAUUCUAAAACUGUGUGUGUGUGUGUGUGUGUGUGUGCGCGCGCGCACGCGCGCGCUCAUGUGUUCAGUUACAGAAAACCAGAUUGAUAGAACAUCUUUUCAAAAUUCUGAACCUAAGGGAACAAAACUCCUUCUAGAAGCAACUUGCAGUUUUCUCCCUAUGCUUUUGAGAUGUAAACGUUCUGCCAGGGCUUUCAGGAACUCUUAUCUUAUCUAGACCAUCUCCAAUUCCUGAGACUGAGAAUGGAAAAGAGAGAAAAGAGAUCUUUUUGAAUUGAAAUGAGUUAACAACUUAUUCCAAGGGUUAUAUUUAAACUAUUAAGUUUUAUAUUGUAAUACUUGAUUCAUGACUAAAUCUUAAAAUGAAGUUAUGAAAUUUCUGGUUGUGUCUGUAUAUAUUCUGUGUGUCUGUUUUAGAUACGAUAUGCUCUACCUCUGGAUGGUAUUUCCAAAAUUAAUUUGCAAAACUCUAUUUGGUUGACCUAGAGAAAAUGAAGCACUCUCAUAACUACUCAGAAAUAUCUAUUUUUAAAAAACUAACACAAAUGCAUUUCAAGUUCAUGUGAUUGGGGAGAUAUUUAGUAUUAUAUUAAUAUUUGGUAUUAAGAUUAGCUGAAAUUUAUUGAGUUAGUUACUACAGACAUGACUUUACAGACAUUAAUAUCAAGUAUUUUCUUGUACCUAGGUUUACUAGAAGUCAAGAUCUUGGUUACAAAAUUUUUCAGCAAGAAAAUUAACUUGGUAUGAUGAAAUUUUUAUAAGUAAAUUAAAUAUAAAUGAGACAAGAUUUUCUAGGUGAACUCUUUCAGGAAUAAUUAUGUCUUAUGGUGUGUCUACUUAAAAAUAGUUGCCCCAGAUUUUUAGCAACUUCAAUCUUUACAGUUUUGCUAAAUUAACUUAAAAGAUGAAAGUUUAUUGAUUAUCUAGAUCAUUCCCAGCCAAACUCACCCCAAAUUCCUGAGAAGCAAGAGCCCAUCUACAAGACAAAAUCAUGCCCAGAGACUGGGAAGUGGGACCCGCUCCUGAACGGACCAUCAUUACAAGAGUGGACUGGGGAUGAAGGUGGAAGAUCCAGGAAGGAAAGGAACAUUUUUUUUUUUUUGCUGUUUCUACCGAGUCAGGGAAGCUGAGAUAGGUGGAAAUUAAGCCUUCCUAUAUACCAGCAAGUUGCCACUGUUCUUCUUCUUGUGCAGUAAAAAUUUGAAGAUG
ensembl:lncRNA